UCUAAAAAGGCAGAUCAAUGUUUGAAUGCUUCUUAAAGACAAUCAUGGACAUAUGAGAAACAGCACAUACUCUAGUUCAGAUACAAAGAGAUCACUAUGACGUCAUCAGUGGCGUCAUCAUGGUGCGUGGCAGUUUGUAUUUUUGAAUGAAGCCAAAACAAACCUGUUCAGAUCUGGGGAGACAAGCUGUCCAUCGGUAAGGGAGCAGGCGCACAAAGGUUCGUCUGGACUGCUUCGUAUAUCAACGUCUCUUCUCGGAGGUCAAGGUUAGGGUUAUGACGUAGACUUCAAGGCUAAACAAACAUCUAAAAAGCCCCGAAGCCACGUGAAUUAUACAGUCUGUCGGCUCUGCUUAAUCCUUUCAGCGGUUUCUUCCCCGUUCCUAACGACAGGUUCUGACGUUGACAUGUCACAUCAAUCUAGAGACUGCUUUGCGGCUUCAUCUUGAACUUGAAUGACCUAGGAGGAAAUUGUAACGUAACAGUCACGGAGGCUUUUCACGGAGGGAAAGGACAACACAUGGAGUUGUUCACACGGCGCAUGCGGGGACGUCGCUGUACCCCACCCUGGUGCAAGGAGCGGUAUGUAGAUGUACAGCGGGGCGCGUCCCGCCUCUAGCCGAGCCUCCCGCGUGAUCCCCUCGGUUCCACCCCGCUGCAGCACAAGGACGUGCACCCUGUCUGCGAUGGCAAGGAUUGAUCGACCAGACGUGCUGAUAUUGAGA